CUCCAGAUAUUUUGUGUCUUCAUGAACUCAACCGUAUUUUUCUUUGAUUCUUUCUUUCACAUUCUUCUCUCCCUUUCCUUCUUUUAUAUAUAAACUCGUAUUUCACUUCAGAUCACGAUUUCAAACUUCCACCAUUCAUUUUCUCUUGCAAUGGUUUCCGGUUCUCAGUUUCACGGCGAGAACCGCGAUUCUCGCCUUGAAGUUCGUUUCUGACCUGCAUUCCAAUAAUCCCUUUCACGAAAUCGGUUACGGUGUUUUAUUUUGCCAUGGCUAGGGAUUUUCAUCUUCUGAAUUCGCUUGGUUGCUGAUAAACUGCGGGAAAUGAAAUCAAAAUAGUGAACAAGAGAGAAAUUCCAAAUAAAACUGCUGGUUAUUCUUUACGGGAAUAGUGGAGCGUUUGGAUCUGGCGUCUCAGGUAACUAAGAAACUAACAGUUUCUCAUACAUAUCCUAUAUAUAGUUAUUUUUUAGUUAUGGAUUGUCUUUCUUUACUAUUUUUCAAUUGCACUUUAUGGUACAAUUUUCAGUAUUUUGUUUCGUUCUUUUGAUCAUAUAAGUUUAAACAUCAAUUUUACUGUCAAAUUCUCUCGCUUUUGUUCCCUUUCUUAUUGCCAUGUCCUUUUAUUUGUCCUCACCAAGAUGUAAAUCAGGUGGUUAA